rnacentral:rRNA from 1 species
AUUGAACGCUGGCGGCAGGCCUAACACAUGCACGUCGAACGAGUGGCGGACGGGUGAGUAAUGUCUGGGAAACUGCCUGAUGGCGGGGGAUAACUACUGGAAACGGUAGCUAAUAACGCAUACCCUCAUAUGUUCCCAGAUGGGAUUAGCUUGUUGGUGGGGUAACGGCUCACCAAGGCGACGAUCCCUAGCUGGUCUGAGUGGAUGACCAGCAACACUGGAACUGGGAAACGGUCCAGAUUCCUACGGGAGGCAGCAGUGGGGAAUAUUGCACAAUGGGCACGGGCCUGAUGCAGACAUGCCGCGUGUAUGAGGAAGGCCUUCGGGUGGUAAAGUACUUUCAGCGGGGAGGCGUUACCCGCAGAAGAAGCACCGGCUAACUCCGUGCCAGCAGCCGCGGUAAUAC